rnacentral:rRNA from 1 species
UGGGGAAUUUUGGACAAUGGGCGCAAGCCUGAUCCAGCCAUGCCGCGUGAGUGAAGAAGGCCUUCGGGUUGUAAAGCUCUUUCGGUGGGGAAGAAACGGUUCGUGUUAAUAGCACGGACUACUGACGGUACCCGCAGAAGAAGCACCGGCUAACUACGUGCCAGCAGCCGCGGUAAUACGUAGGGUGCAGGCGUUAAUCGGAAUUACUGGGCGUAAAGCGUGCGCAGGCGGUCUGUUAAGACAGGUGUGA